rnacentral:rRNA from 1 species
GACGGAGGUGGCAAGCGUUGUUCGGAAUUACUGGGCGUAAAGGGCGCGUAGGCGGCCCGUCAAGUCCCGUGUGAAAGCCCCCGGCUCAACCGGGGAACGGCGCGGGAAACUAGCAGGCUUGAGUUCGGGAGAGGGAAGCGGAAUUCCUGGUGUAGCGGUGGAAUGCGCAGAUAUCAGGAGGAACACCAAUAGCGAAGGCAGCUCGCUGGGACGGUACUGACGCUAAGGCGCGAAAGCGUGGGGAGCGAACAGG